CGACUUGGAGGUUGUUCCCUUGAGGAGUGGCUUCCGGAGCUAACGCGUUAAGUCGACCGCCUGGGGAGUACGGCCGCAAGGUUAAAACUCAAAUGAAUUGACGGGGGCCCGCACAAGCGGUGGAGCAUGUGGUUUAAUUCAAUGCAACGCGAAGAACCUUACCUACUCUUGGCAUCCAGCGAAUUCGGCAGAGAUGCCUCAGUGCCUUCGGGAACGCUGAGACAGGUGCUGCAUGGCUGUCGUCAGCUCGUGUUGUGAAAUGUUGGGUUAAGUCCCGCAACGAGCGCAACCCUUAUCCUUUGUUGCCAGCACGUAAUGGUGGGAACUCAAAGGAGACUGCCGGUGAUAAACCGGAGGAAGGUGGGGAUGACGUCAAGUCAUCAUGGCCCUUACGAGUAGGGCUACACACGUGCUACAAUGGCGCAUACAAAGAGAAGCGACCUCGCGAGAGCAAGCGGAUCUCACAAAGUGCGUCGUAGUCCGGAUCGGAGUCUGCAACUCGACUCCGUGAAGUCGGAAUCGCUAGUAAUCGUGGAUCAGAAUGCCACGGUGAAUACGUUCCCGGGCCUUGUACACACCGCCCGUCACACCAUGGGAGUGGGUUGCAAAAGAAGUAGGUAGCUUAACCUUCGGGAGGGCGCUUACCACUUUGUGAUUCAUGACUGGGGUGAAGUCGUAACAAGGUAAC
rnacentral:rRNA from 1 species